CAAAGCCUCACUCCAUAACUCUCUAACUUAUAACUCUAUAAGAACGAGUGAUGACCGAAGUCAUUACUAGUAAUAAAACAACAUUACGAGAUUUCCGUGACUGCUCCUUCGGAUCAUUCACUUCAAUCUCUUCAUUUGACAGUUCACCGACUGAAUUGCAUAAAAAUAAGGGCUUUUCUUUGAGUUGAGGAUCUCCCAUGGGUAAAGACUCAUUCGA
rnacentral:lncRNA from 1 species